UAUUUUACUGCUGAGAGAAUACCAGGAGACUUGGAAAACAUUUGGUAGUGUCACAGCAAGAACCUGCUUUUGGCAACAGUUACUCUGCAGUUAAGAUAGAGAACUGCCUGUAGAUUCCUUAAGAAGAGGGGCUUUGGCUGAUGCCACCUGACACAUGGGGGGAACAUCCACUCUGGCAGGCGCUGACAGGCUUGGUCCUGCCAGGUGAACUGCACAAGGAAAACAACGACCCUAGAUGGUGAGAAGGACUUUUCCAUCUUCACAUCCCCAGCACCAAGCAUGGUGCCUGGAAUAGAUUGCCAUUAUAAGAGAGUUAAGCCAAUGGGCUUGGAAUCCUGGCUGUGCCACUGACUAGUCUAUGUGACUAUGGACAACUUAUUUCAGCUGAGACUCAAUUCUCUGCAAAGUUGAAAAACAGUUAUGAGCAUUAAGUUACUGUAUUAAUGCAUUUAAUACACAGUUGUGCUAAAAAUGGUAGUUUAUUGCAUCAAAUACAUUUUAAUGAUGAAAACUGCCUAGGGAAUAUAAGGUAAGAGAAGACAGAGAAAACGUCCAAGAUAGCCACUUUUCAUAGAUCGGAGAUAGCAACAAAGUUUUCUGCAUAGCACUGUAUGAGCUGAAUACAAAUAAUCUUUACUUGUCCAAAGUAGUUUUUUAAAAAAAAUCUACUACGUUUUAGCAUUUUUCUCACAAUGGUUCAAAAAAAAAAUCUGUCUGAAAACAGCCAAUUCUCAUGAGAGUUAAAUACUGAUUAGAAUUACUAUUUCUCACAUCAUUUUAGGUCAACAAAUUUCUUAAAAAUCUUGACUAUUUUAACACUUGUAGAACCUCAAGUAUAGGAAUAUAGAUAUGUCAAAAAAAAACCCAAAUUUCUUUUUUACUUUUAGUCGUUGGUACAAAUACUAACAUACCUGCCAAUUUAAGUGUAGACACAUAAAAUAAUCACUGACCAUUCUCUUUCAAAUAUUUUUACAUUUACUCUUUGCAAUCUUGUAUAGUACCUUUCUAUGAUGGUUUUCUCUCUUUUGAUAGGAUAACAAAAGAUAUUUUUUGCAUUGCUAAUAGUCUUAAAAUUAAAACAGAUAUUUCAGGUGGUGGCUAUUUUCCACAUUUGCUUCCAAUAUUAAUGAAACCAUCUUGGUAUCACCUCUAAGGAUAAACAUUAGUAUCUGUAGACUCUAGUCACAGAGUUGGUUAGAAAUGAUGAGUAUUUAAAUAUAAUUGUUUCUUAUUGAAGGGUUAAAUUUGAAAAAAAGUACUUUAAGGACUUCUUCAAAUAAUGGUUUUCUGAUGUCUGUCUAAUUUUGGCCUCACAAAUAUGUUUGUGUUAUUUUAACACACCAUCAAAUAGUUUAGAUAAUCAAAUAAUGUUUUCAACGGUUCUGUUUAAAAUAUUGGCAUGUUUCCAAAAUACAGACUGGAAUGAGUAAUCAGAGUUUAAAGCAAGAUUAUUUGAACUAUUUAAAUGGCAUAAGUGGUGCAUUAAAACAUCCACAUAUUCUGACUAAACUAUAUUGUGUAUAUGAAUAAGGUUCAGCCUAAAAUAGUCCAGCUUUUCUUACAAUAAGUCAGUUUGAUUUUCCUGAUACCUAACAUAUAAAUAUUCAACACCUAUAACAAAUGAAAUCCAUAUGUAUAUAUCUUGUGAUCGGUGAUGAUAACCUUCUAAGGAACACCACUACAGGGCCGGAGCACUAUGUCUGUCUUGUCAGACAAAGACUGGACAAAGCCAGGAGCCGUGAACGGUCACUCCUUCUGUCAGCCUCCCUGAUCUGUGUAUGCUCUCCACCAUCUCACAUGCUGGCUCUCCCUCUUCCUUAACACUACUAUGGGACCCACGACAACACAGCCCCUUCUACUGUCUUCCUCUAAUUUGAAAAAACUGUAGUGCUCCUCCAGGCCCAAUAUUCCUCUUUUCUCAGGAGUCAGAUGUAUUCAUAAAUUCAACUGUUAUUUAUGUGUGGACAAUACUGAAAUAUUUAUUUGUGGAAUGUUAAAAUGCAAGGUAUCUCAGGACUCUUGUUUCAUACAUAAGAAAAAGGAAGCAGAGGCCAUGAAGUCACUGGACUGAACUCACCUGCCUGCUGGCAUCAGGGAGGCACUAGAACACAGGUCUCUGCAAUCUCAGCUCUUUGCUCUCAGCUCUACACUCCUGAGUCUGUUCCUCGCCUCGGUUUCUCAUUUGCUCUGUUAUAUUUCUACCUUCUAAUUGGACUUCAAAUAUCCAAAACCAGAUUUUUUACCUCUCUCAAGCCAGCUCCAGUGACAUCUUUUUUCCAAAAUGGCACUUAACUCUCCAGGUUAUCAUAGCAGGAAAUCUUAAAAUCACCCUUGAUGCCUUCCUCUUAUCUUCUAAAAAUAAUCAAUAGGUAGUCUUUGGUAUGGAGAUUAUAUAGAAAUAUAUACAUCUUUCAAGGACAGAGUACAAACCUAGCACUUCAACCAAGCUGUCCAAGGUCAUCAAUUCAUAUUAAUUUAUCUUCCCUUUGAAAUCAGAGAGCACUGAUUGAGUCUACCAAUUAUUUUGAUACCUAAUCAUGUAUCUUACAUUAUUAAUUACCGAAGUUUAAAUUUUGUUGUAUUUCUCAUAGGACCUAGAAAAGUUUAUGCAUAUAGUAGGUACUCAGUAAAUCCUCAUUAUGUUGAGUCAUAUUUCUUUGCAACCUAUUGUCUGACAUAGGUCAAAAACAUGAAGAGGAUGCCUGCCAAUAUUUUCUGAUAGUUUUGAAUAUUCACACAAAAAAACUGAAUUCUGAAUAAAUAUUCCUCUUAGAAGAGCAUCUUAUUUAAUAUUUCCAAGUGAGAACAAAGGUAAAUAAUAGUUAUGCCCAAAGUAAAAGGGAUAUAAAAUAACUCUCUCAAGUAUUAUGGAUAUUAACAAAACAGGGUCAUUUAAGUAUUUUUCCUGACACAUAUUUGAAACACACAAAAACAGUUUAAAAUAGCAACAGCUUUAAGAGGUCGGUGCUGUCUCAUUAGGAAAGAUCAGUUCAGAAAGUAGGCUGCACCGUACCCUGGACAGCAGUCAGCAGGCUUCUAGGGUGAUGGAGGGUGCAGAGUGGAGGGGUCCUUUAAGGAAAAUGGCCUGUUUCAAUUUUCCACAUCUAACUUGGGGAAUCAUUAUUAGCACAGACAGCUGAUUUUCAUUGUUCAGAUGGGUACACAGAAAGAAUGACAAUCUCAAAAGUAAAGAGUUCUAUUUCCCUCCUAAUUAGUCAAAGAAAGUUGACACACCAUGGCAUAUUCAUGAGUCUACAGGAGAGGAAACAUUUUAAAAGGAGAGAUGAAUGAAAAGAAAGCAGAGGGAGGGAAAAUCGUUUUGAUCACAGAUGACUAGAAAUGAAGGAAAGCUGAAACACACUAAUAUUGGAAAGCUGAAGUGAUUAGGACAACAUUAAUAAAUGUGAAAACCCAAAAAGAAAAGGAAGAAGGUUAAUUAUAGGAAAACUGACUUUUUCAUUUUUAUUAUUAUCUAUAAAGUUACACUCAAGGAGCUAUAGAUUACACGUUACUCCUCUGAUACAAAAUGUGACUUGAAAUUCAGAGAUUUACUCCAAAAGCUGCAAAGGAAAUUGAAUCUCAUUCAUUUACUGGCAUACUUUAGGUAUGUUAAGUAUGGGAUAUGUCAUGCAUUUUGAAAACUGACUCUCUAAUUUUACCCAACAUCCAGGAAAUAAUUAUUCUUUUAAAUUAUAAAACAAUUUCUCAGAAGACGUUAAUGCUGAAAACUAGUAAACUAUAAGGAAUUUCAUUUUUAUUAUAUUUGCUGAUAACUGAAAAUUGUUUCCAACAAAUAAUAGAAUCAUUUAUACCAGCAAAAUUAAUGCACUAGGUAGGAGGAAGUGCUGGUCCAAAAGAACCACAAAUUCAAUACAUAAAAUCAUUCUCCCUCCCUGAAUAGCUCUUAGUCUUAAGAAAAAAAAGAGUGAAUAAUAACAGCACAUGAGUUUAUGACUUUUUAAAAACAAAUAACUAAGAAGGAUUUCAAAGACGUUUCACCUUUUAAAAACUAAUAACUAAGAAAGAUCACAAAGAUGCUUCACUUUACCCAACUGAUUCUGAAACCCUCUUUAAUGUUGAUUUUGCAAUCAGAGUAGAGGCAGCUCAGAACUUUUCAGCUCCUUGUGACAAGAGCCUCCAAAGGAGAUGAAUGAGAUCAUCCUAUUGAUAAGGUUGCAAUCGAUCUGAAGCAGACCUUUUUUAAAUUAGCAAAAUGUUGCAGCACUUUGGUAAGUGUCACCAACAGCCUUUCUCCAUGAAAAAUGCACUGGCUUAUGGAAAACAAAUUUUUUAAAUUAAAAAUUUGUCUCCUAACAAAAAAGUGUUGCUACACCUAUUUUCCCCCAAUUCAUUAUUAUUCCAUAGACAGAUUCUAAAGGUAGCUUAUUUUCAUAUCUGGUUUCAGAAUAAUCUACCUCCCAAAGAUCUUUUAAAAUAAGUUGUGUUCACUAAUUAAAAUCAAUGUCAGCUAAAAGUGUCAAAAGGAAGGGUCCUCCAAACACUAAUAGUUAUCAAUCUUAAAUAAAAUUCUGAUCUAUCAAAAUGAAAACAUCUUUAGCAAUACUUGAAAUGACUUAACUCAAAAAAUCAAAGAUCUCUUGAAUUACUCUGAAGAAAGCAAAACCAACCCUUCAGCUUGCUUCAGAGGAAGAAAGUGGACAGAGAAGGGCCACUUAGCAUGUAAAGGGGUUGAAAUUAAAAUCCAAAACUUAAUCAUCAUUUGGCAAGUCAACUUCUUUUUCCUUCAAGUAAAAAUUAUUAUGGAAACCUAUCCAGUUAUACAUAUACAUGAUGGAUAGAUACAGAUAAUUUUAACACCUUUAGAGAAGAGAUUCCUAAAGUGGAAGUACGAUUCAAAAUUACCUGGGGUACUUGCUAAGAGCUCAGAUUCCUGGAUUUUCUGCAGGUUAUGGCAAGGACUCAGCAAUUUUAUUAUGCUCCCUAUGUAAUUAUUUUGCAGAAUAAAGCUUUGGAACCACUUCUGUAGAAGGACUUGGUAGCCACAUCACUUGUGUACAGCAUGUUGCUGGUAAUCUCUAGCUUUCUUUCCAAAGACAUGGGGUAUAGGGGUCAGAGGUCAGGAAGACCGAAGGCUCCAACACUUGUUCUUCCCUUUAUAUUCCACCUUUGGGCAAAUUACUUCAACCCUCUGAGAGUUGUGUUCCUCACCUUGAAAAUAAGGAUUUUAAUACCUCACAGAGGUGCUUUGGGAUGAAAGAAAAUUUAUGUAAAGGGUCUGGCACAUAGGAGGCUCUCAAAGAUAGUAUCAUUAGUUCAAUCCCCACAGUGGCAAUUAACUUGUUCUGCAGCUGGUCCACAGAAUGUACCUCAAAACAGCAGCCAAUAAAAGAAACUGAUUAUUCUGGGGUGGUGUUUCCCUAAUUUACCAGGACAAGGUGAUCUGAUGAGAUCCUGGGUAGUUUUACUAAUACUUCAUGGAAUUAAUUCUGUGGGAGUGGGCAGAAGAGAGGCUGCUUAUUGGACAGUUUAGGGGAAAGUCAAGAAAAGCACUAGAAAGAAAUGCUUCAAAACAAAGGUACAUUUUUGGAUUUUCUCUGUGUCAAAUCUAGGCUUAGAUAGUGUUAGGAAGGCAGCAAGUGAAUUUGCAGAGAUUUCACAUUUAAAAUUAGGACAUAAUUUGUCACCUUCAAGAAUGUGAGGUUGAUUCCUUUAAUUUUAAAUUUACAUGGUUUCCCUGCUUUGCUUAAUAGAGUCACUUCUUGAUUAUUCUUUCCUUUCCUUUGUGCUUUUUCAACCUUCUAGUGUCACUGAUUAAAAACCCUUACUCCAGAAGUAUACAACCAAGAGGACAAAGGGCAUGGGCUUUAGAAGUAAUCCAGGUGAGGAUAAUGGGGAGAGAGACCCAGGAAGAGCAGGUGUAAACAACAUCUGGUUCCACCCACUGUGUCACUAUACUCAGCCAAUUAGUGUGACCAGGAAGUAACAUGCUAAUAAACAGUUCUAACACUGGAAAGGGGAGAAAGGAAACAAGAUAUUUUCAUUGGUUAGAGAAAUGGCUUCAGGCCAAAUUACAAAAAAAAAAAACAAAACAGGAAGAAAAGAAUCUUUCAUAUCAUUUAGAAUAUACAUUUAGAAAUGUAUUACUAAAAAGUACUUGACUUAAAACUGAUUAUUAGUGAAGAAAAGGUCACAUGUCAUCACUCAGCGCUUCAUACAUAUUUUAAGUCAUUGAUAUUUGACUCCUCAAUUUGGGACAUACUCCAUUCUCCACCUAAUGUAAUUGUAAAGCUCUGUCUACAUAACUCAGGUACAACCUAAGCUGCAUUGUGUGCCUAAACACAGCAUAAACACACUUUUAGCAUAUGUAACAGAAGUAAGCACUUUUAAUUUUAUUUUGACUACAGAGCACAUGGUUUGUGAAUAUUUAAAAUCUAGUUGUGAUAGAAACUUUCUAGUGACUUAGUUGGACUAAGGAAAAAAUAAAAAUAUUUAAAAAUGAACCCUCAUUUCCCAUUUUCACCAAGCAGUUUUUUUAUGACCUAGUAGAGUCUAUGGGGUGAUGGACAGCAACACAAAUUAGGUCCCCUUGAACAGCAGUUUGUGAACCAGGCAUCCUGUGCGCGGCAUGAGGCCCUGUGUCCACGUAACAAAUUCUUAACUAUUGAUGUGGUGGAGAAAAGAUCUAAGCUGAAAUAGUACAAUGGCUGUGUAACACAGGUGGAGAGCAUAAUUAUCUCCCUUAUGAUUAUGAGUCAACGAUGGUACAUAGAGAUGAAGUGGCUUGGAAAAAAGUGAAUCAUGAGUAAAAAUAGAAGGAGAAAAGAUAGCCCAGAUUCUGUUUUCUUUUUUGUCAGUUUUCAGCACAGAGAUAUAGAACUGUUCCUUUAUUUUUUGUAAGUUUAAAUAUCUCCUUUCCCUUCAUCAUCCAUCAAUAUUUCCCCUUAGUUUUAAGAUUCUUAUUGACUAAGAAAAACUUUAAAUUUUAGAUUUAAAGUGAUGUGCACUUCAGCCAGGUUAAAAUGUGAGAAUCAACAUAUAUAGCUUUUACUACCUCAUUUGAUGAAGAAAAACCUGAACUAUUUGUCCCUGUCUAGUUAUGACAGCAACUUAUCCUUAAAAACACUAAGAUACAAACGAAUUAGGGGUUUAAUAUAAAGGUGCUUAUGUGCAUCUCAGACCUAUGGCUUCAGCUUUUAAAAAUCAUCUUAUUUCCUCUUCAAUUUUAUUUCAAAUUGAUGUUACACAACUAGACUUAAGUAAAAACAUGACAAAUUAGAAUUUACAAGAAUCCCCGUAUUAUUUUAAAAUGUGCCGUGUAGCAUGCUCGUACUUUGUAUAUCUAGGAAAAUAUAACACUAAGAGUUCCUUUUCUAUCCCCAAAUGAAAAGUUAUCAGAGUCCCCCCAUCAUUCCACAGCUGUGCCUUCAAUGACCGCUGCUCACCUCCAAGCUGGGACAGGCUCAUCAGCAGACUACGUGUAAUACAAAUCUGAUGGCAGCUUUGGGAUCACUCAAGCUCUGGCCUCACUUCUUGGAGGAAGUGUGAAGGACUCUAAAAUGAACACUCCUGUAGGCAUUCCUGGCAUGUCUCUAAACAAUAGUCUCUUUUUCUAGUCCUUUUCUCUCCCCAAAUGAUGUAUCUGCCAGCUAUCACCAUCUGACCCAUUUUCCUUACAUCAGGCAGGCCUGAGCUUUCUCAGAAGUAUCUAAAUGAAAAGAAUAACUUUCAAAAUUACAUGGAAAAUAAUCCUUUCAUAAUGCUAAAAAAUAAAAUCAAGGGAAAACUGCAUCAAGUUCCAAAUUUUAUAGGGAUUAUUGUACACCUUUCAAAAUUUUGCAUCUCCACUUUUAUGAAUGAUAGGGAGAUCAUACAUUUUUUAAAAAUGCAUUCUGUCAUACUAGAAUUUAAAAUGUCAAGUAUGGUCAAGGUUCUGUGGAAAUUAGUGGAAACAUGAAAUCAGGUGCUUUAGCAUGGGGAAGUGACUUGAAUCAUGUGGUCUCCAUGGAAACAGCCUUGGUGCUUACAUCAAAGGGCCUUCUCUUACAUACACAAUGCCCUAGAUAUCUCUGAUGAGUGCUUGGGCCAAUGAGUUGUUCUUCUCAUAGGUGGGGGCCCUCUGCAUUCAGGGCUGGUCACUAACCUUAAUUUAGGGAUGCUGAUGGGUGAAAUAAUCAAUCACAGAACCCAGGGUCUAGCAGAGUACAGAGCCCACUUUGUGAGUAUUCAGGAAUCAUUUGGAGGAACCUCAUGUAUUUUCAACUUACUUUUAUUCAAUUAUACAGAAAAUUAAAACAUUCUGAGUCAUGAUUAUUAUUUAAUAUACAUACAUGCAUGCAGGCAACUCUUUAUUCUGGAGAUAGACUUUAUUCCUUUAUGUACUUUAUGAUGUUCCUCACCUGUCUUUCACCUGCUUCUAAUCCACCUCAUACCCCCUUUUCACUUAAUCAUCCUAUCUUAUAUUUUAAUAGGCGUAGCUUUUACUAUGCAAACAAAUUCACAUCCCAAGUGUACCAAAUUUUGCUAUCAUGAUUUGUAUAACAUGGAGACUAUGACGUUUGUUACUAAAAACAUCAGUUUCAAGUCCCUUCCAAUGUGGUCUUGAUUGACAGAAUAGAGUUUAAAGUGGUUUGUUAAAGUUGUCGCUAGAAAUGGCCUCUGAGAUCCCUGUUUCUUUUGUACUUUUGUUUUUUUGUCUUUAGAACUAGCAUGGCUUCACAAAAGCAAGAAAAGCUCUGGGAGGUUUAUUCAGCGCUUUGUAAUAAAAUCCAUAGUUACUGCAGGGAAUGUUUCAGUAGAUCUGUUCUCAAUGACUAAAAUUAAUCUGUGUACCUUCCUUCUCAUAUGACAUACAGUCCCAGAGCUUUAUUCUGUUGAGGAAACUGAUAUGUAGAUUAAUCAAGACCAGGAAUGAUAUGGGCAGAAGGCAAAUUUGGGAACUUUGUGGUUCCUCUUGUUUCUCAAUUCCCUUUUAUUUUUGUUCCUCUGGAUAAAUUGCUUUUCAAGUGGGCCAGAGCUCACUCAUUUUAUCCAUGGGACUCAACUUGUCCCCACUAGGUCUCCUGACAUGCAUAGUUGUUCAUUCAUCUGCUCUCUUCUUAAGAGUAACGUCCAAAGGUUUCUGAUAGAUCAAAAAUACAAAUAUAGCACUGCAUUGUACUUAGGUCUGACAGGUGGACCACAAUUGGAAAAAUUCUAAUACUGUAACAUUCAUUUACUAUUUACUGACUGCCUCCUCUGUAUCCAUUGCAUAGGAAUACCAAUAUUUAUAAGUCUCAAAACCUUUGGGAGUUCUGGACUUAGAGGGAAAGGACAGUAUUUAUUCUCAGCCCAGUGUGAUGAAGGUCAGCAGACAGCACACACAGGAGGUUUAUGGGAGUGCAGAGGCAGAAAGGCUGGGUGCCAGAGAAGCUUUCCUGGAGGAGAUGAAGCCUGAGCUGAGCAAAAAGCAACAGCAAGAACCAGCCUGGCUAUAAAGAAGUGAGGGUCCAAGUCAGGGAAGGACAUUUAAAGUGGAUAAAAGGAGUACACGCAGAGACACUGACAUGGAACCCCAAGCACAGUCAGCUGCUGCAAAGCUGAGGUAACGGCGGUGGGAGUGGGCACCAAGAUGGGGGGGGGGGGCAAGGAUGGAGGCAAGAGUUGUAGAUGAUUCAAACUCACAGUUAAGCCAAAAUUAAGUCAAAACCUGGUACAACUAAUGUAAAUUUUUUCCCUGGUACAUAUUUAUUUCUUAAAGACAUCUUGUUUGAGAAGGGUUUCAUUUGAAUGUGAGAAACCCUAUCUCAGUUGCCCAGCUUUCUCAGCCAAACUUUUUGAUUUCACGUGCUCAUGGGUUGGGGUAUAUGUAUGUGGAAUGGGUAGGAAGGAACAAGAGAUGAGUUCUUGCAGUUUGGGGAAUAAAAAUAUCAAGAUUUUUAUAACAAUAACUUUCAUUUACUAAUUCCUUUAUAGUAAAUGUGACUCAUAAGAGAGUGAAAUACCUUUGGAAUAAAAAAGGGGAACACCAUAAAAGUUUACUAUAGAUAAACAAUUUUUGUUCUUGAAGUCUUUAAAAAUGGAUAACAAUUUAAAAUUAAAAAUAAAAUACAUAUACAGUUUCUGUUUAGAAAUUUCUGGAAGUGGAUAGUGAUGAUGGCUGGACAAUACUGUGAAUGCACUCAGUGCUGCUUAAAAGUGGCUAAAAUGGUAUAUUUUAUGUUAGGCAUAUUUUACCAAAAAAUUACAUAUCAAUUAUAAUCAAUACCAGGAAUGAUAUGAGCUGAAGGAAAAUUUGGGGAACAGUAGUUUGGAUAUGUUCCAAGUUUCCCAGUGGAGGUGUGAAACCAUGGAUAGUACCAAACCUUAUAUAUACAUAUUAUUUUUUUCUAUACACCCAAAUCUAUGAUAAAGCUAAUUUAUGAAUUAGGCAUAGAAAGAAAUGAACAAUGACUAAUAAUAAAAUAUAACAACAAUAUACUGCAAUAAAGCUUAUAUAAAUGUGGUCUCUUUCAAAAUAUCUUAUUGUACUGUAUUCACCUUUCUUCUUGCGAUGAUGUGAGAUGAUAAAAUGCCUACAUGAUGAAGUGAAGUGAGGUGAAUGGUGUAGGCAUUGUGACAGAGCAGCAGGCCACUUCUGACCCUCUGACAAUACGUUAGGAGGGUCAUGUGCUUCUGGACUGUGGGUGAUUGCCAGUAACAGAAACCAUGGAAAGCGAAACCAUGGAUAAGGUGGGACUACUGAAUAUAUAACACACAUGUAUUAUAUAUUAUACAUAUAUAUUAUUAUAUAUUUGUAGUAUAAAACUUUUUAUGUAAGGUAAAACACCAUUAGCACCAUUAUUUAAUAACCAUGCUUAUGCUGUUGACUACUAAAAUUCCACUAUAUUAAUAGCUACCAAAUAUUGACCAUCUACUCUGUCAGGCCUCCUACACAACUCAACACUCUUUGCUAUUGGUAUUAUUCCCAUUUUACAGAUUAGGAAUAUAUACUAUUGGGAUAAGACAUAUCAUUUACAUGCAAAAUUUGAAAGACCUUUGCAUGGAAGUUAUUGCUUUUAUCUUGCAUGCCAAAUAGGAUUUUUUAAUUUGUUUCUUAUAUUCUUAAACACAUUUUAGAAGAUGUUUGUGAGCCAGUUUCUUCUAAAGUAACAGAGCAAGUGCUAGCUUUUUUGUUUUUUUAAUGAACAACUUUCUAUCUUAAGGACAUUUGUUUAACCAAAAGCUAAUCAUUUUCUUCAUAAAUUAAAACAGAGAAGUGGUUAUCAAUAAAUUUAUGUAGAUGAUACAUUUCUUUUAGUGACUUUCAGUAAUUUCAAGAUCUAUAUAGGAGUCCUUAUAUAUAUGUCUGAAUUUGGCAAAAAUAUAAAAUUUUGUAGAGGAGACAGUUAUUUUAAACAAUGCAUGCCUCCCAAUAAUCUAAUUUGAAAAGCUAUCUGAGUAAUUUCAUGGUAUAAAAAUCCAUCCUUCUUUAGGGAAGUUUUUAUUUGGAACAGAAAGUUAUUUGUUCACGAUCAGGAAUAAAAAAAAACAUUAAAAAUAUUUGGAAGAAGUAGUCAUAUACUUUAAAAGAAUAUUUUCUUAUUAUUACUCAUAGCAUUCUGGAAUCUUGAUCUUUUAUUAAACUACACAUAAUUUAUAAAUUUCAGAACUUUAUUGGAGUACUUAAAAGGAUUAGCCUGAGUGUUAGAUGCCCAUGGCUCUGAUAAUGGCAUACCCACCCAACUAUUGAUUCAGGGCCUACUGUGGUUUAGGUGCUCUCACUAGGCAUGGAUGAAUCAGACAGACAUAGUCCCCUGCUUCCAAAAUGGGGAAUGAGAAAUUGAACAAAAAACGUACAGAUAUAUAUUAUAAGUCCUGUAUAAGAAAUGUACAAGGUGCUAAGACUAAACAUAAGGGAAGGGGACUAAUUUGCCACCAAUAUUAAUGAGCUAAGAGCUGAGGUUUUGAAGUUAUAAAAAUUGUAUUUUGGCUUCUCUAGUUAGCAGUUGUAUUAUUUAACAGUUGUACUACUGACCCUUGCUAAACUUGAGUUUUCUUACCUGUGAAAUGAUAAUGGCACUACUUUUUAUUUGAGAGUUAUUGUAGGGAGAAAGUAUGUAAAAUGCCCAAUAGCACCAAGGGCAUACAUAAGAGGUACCAUUAUUAUUAUAAUGCCUCUGCUUAUUAUAAAAUACAAAAACUGAGCAUGAAACACAUUUAAAUCUGACAGCAUGAAAAAUCAUGUUACUUCUGUGCCACUCUGUUGUUCUGUCAUCUUUAGCAUAUAGAUGGUCCCUGACUUACCAUUUAAUGGUUCAAGUUGGGAUUAUUUAACUUUAUGAUGGUACAAAAGCAGUAAGCAUUCAGUAGAAACUGUAUUUUGAAUUUUGAAUCUUGAUCUUUUCCUGGCUAUUGCUACAUGGGACAAUAUUCUUCUCUAAUGUAGGGCAGCAGUAGUGAGCUGCACCUCCCAGUUGGCCGCAUGAUCACGAGGGUAAACAACUGAUACACUGACAACCUUUCUGUACACAUACAGCCAUUCUGUUUUUUCACUUUCAGUACAGUGUUCAAUAAAUCACACAAGAUGUUCAACACUUUAUUAUAAGAUAGGCUUUGUGUUAGAUGACUUUGCCCAACUGUAGGCUAAUGUAAGCAUUCUAAGCAUGUUUAAGGUACGCUAGGCUAAGCUAUGAUGUUCAGUAAGUUAGAUGUAUUAAAUACAUUUUCAACUGGAGAUAUUUUCAACUUAUGAUGGGGUUAUCAGAACAUAACAUCAUCAUAAGUUGAGGAAGAUCUAUACUCAAAUUUUGGAGAUGCAAAUCAAUAACUUUAUUAUUUGGAAACUCACUCUAGGGUGUAAAUUACAGAAAAUAAAAUGUGGUAAGUGGACUCUUUUCUAGUUGAUGAGAUUAAUCAUCACAUAAUUCGCAACAUCUAAAAAUUCUGGAUAAAUGCGAAAGUUUGUCCUUCUUGGCUAGUACAAAUAAAACCUAACGCAUUUAUCAUCUAGACAAAUGUCUAAGAAGAGAAAGUUUGAAGAAUGUGAAUAUAAUGGAAUAGUUUUUAUGUCAUCAAGAGCUUUUUAAGAUUUAUUAUGGUCCCAAUCUAAUAUAAACAGGUGAAUUCACUGCAUAACUGCCCAUUUGUUACUUCACUUUGGGUAGGGAUGACCAGGCAUCAGGCAAAGGUUCCCAUUUGCUUUAUUCAAACGGAUGAUUUUGCCCAGAGAAUCACUUUGCUACAUGAGCCUCGAUGUGUUGAGCUGGCAGGCUUGUUGUCUUACAUGAUCAAACAACAACAAUAAAGAUCACAGCAGAUGCAGUGAUUGGGCAAAGCACAGUUAGAGCCAUGAAUAAUGUGCAUGGAUAAAAAUGAUUACUUAGAGAAUAAAUACCAUGAAAUGACUGAUUAUCUAUUCCUUUCAAAAAAUUGCCCCAAGUGAAGACUAUUUAAACAUUAUACAAAAUUCAAAUGUAAUACAAAUAUCCUAACUGGACCCUAACUGCAUGAGACAACAAUUCCUGAGCCAAGAAGCUGCACCUAACUCUCAUAUUUUAAACACAGAAUCUUAAUAAAAAUGAUAGUUCCCAUUAAAUGUUGUCCCAUUAUCAUUAGCACACAGUUAUGACUUUAUAUAGAAUGGAUAGCUUUACCUUCAGGGCUAUUUAUAGGAAGCUAACAACUGAGACCCCGAAGUCCUCAAUUUGCAUAAAAAGAAGGCAAGGCUACAUUCACUCAGGUAUACAAAUAGCAACCAUAUAGACAAAAGCUCUAAGAACUCAUAAUCUCUUCUUUUCGGGAUUUCGUCAGGGAUGGCUGGCUAAUUGGAAGAACUCAUGAAAGUUCCUUACAAUCCAAUUAGCACUUCAGUGCAAUUAAGUGGUAGAGGCUUCCCUAUUCUGCAGAGACUGGCUUUGAUCUUGCAGUGAAAAGUGUCCUUCCUUAAAGCUGCGGUUUUGAUUUUUUUCUCGGUAAUUAGUGCUAAUUGUAAACCCAAGUCUGACCUGCUAUAAACAGAGUGUUUUACCGCAUUUGACACUAGGACCUUAAAUCAGUGUUCUCUUUUGUCUGUAUUGUACUUGCUUAUUAGAAGUCUGGCUAUUUUGCUCAUUAUUUGAUGCACAAUGGAUAAGUACAUACUAAAGUCAGCUGAAACAAAUGCCUUGAUCUUAAGAGCUUGUGUGGGUAUUUUCACUGGGGUCUUUUAAGCCCAGUUACCAUAAAAGUAGUUCAUUGAAUUUCAUUUAAGGAAUAUACUGUAGUUUUUCCACACAAAGAAUGACUAUUCAAAAGCAGUUUCUAAGGAGUUUUAGUGACCCUUGUAUGUUUGGAAAAUAAAAACAAAAGAUGAAAAUGGUCUUUUCAUAGGACCAAACAUAAGGAAUUGCAUAAAUCAACUGCAGUGUCUGCUGAAAAAUAUUUAGUCUAACAAUGUCUGUUAAAUUGACUCACUGUUUAGAUUCACAAAAAUGAAUUAAAAUAUAAGCCUACUAGGUGAAUAGGCCAAUGAGAUAUCUCUGUAUGUUAAUAAGAUGCUGCAAAAUAUAAAAUCCCAGACCUUCUCUAAGGUACAGAUAAGGCCCUUUGAAACUAACACACAUUUUCUGUGCAAAUGCAGAGCGGCUGGAUAUUAGAUAGGACAUUUUUCCCACAACUAUGUUUUUAAACACUCUAUUCCAUUGCUUAGAAAAUGGCUCCCUCAGAAAAAAUGAUAAAUGAAGCUGAGUCCAGUCCAGGUUAUACUAUUAGACAUUCAAAAUUAGGACCAAUUUAGUGAUCUUGAACCAUAGUCUGGUGUGCAGACAUUUAAUUACUGGAGGGAAAAAUAUGUAUCUAAAUACAAACAUACACUACACAUAAAAUAUGAUGACACCAAUUAACACUCUCUAGAAAUAGCUAUUUUGGUGUAUUAUUUUCCCCUACGGAAAAAAAUCAAGAGUCUAGAAACAGUGUUUUCUAUAAAGGACAAUAUGACUGGAUGCAACUAAAACAAAGAAAAGGCAAGGGCUCUUAGAAAUCGCCCCUCAUCUACACCUUUAAAAUUUAUUUUAAUCAUUUAAAAACCAAAAUACUGCAUGAACAUAGUUUAGAAACCGAACAAUAAUAAAGGCCUGGUAAAAACUUAGGAGUAGUUGUCCCCUCCUCCUCUCCACAAGAAACAACUUUCAACUCUAUCAGCCAUUGCUUUGGCUCUUUGCCUCCAUUUUUUAAAAUCAGCUGCGACUCCUAUAGGGAUGGCUCCCAGGGGUCGGCCCUGAUCAUCUGCACUUCGGAGCUCAUCAGGGGAAGAGGCCAGAGCCUCAUGUCUAGUACCAGACUUCACCCAUGUUUGCCCUAUGCUCCCUCUCUGUCUUCCAUCCCUGAAGUCUUCAAGUCCUGAGACUCCCUGAUUUGGUCUUGCCGAGAGCAUCACCUCUGGCCUGAUGGAAGCGGAGGUCAUCCAAGCAGGGACAGUGGGGAUGUGGGGAGGGAAGAUCAGGCAGUCUAGCGCCAACCUGUACAUAUUUUCAAGCAAUCCCUGUUUUCAGAACCCUCACUUGAUCCUGAGUCCUUUCUGGAAGGCAAAUUGACUAAGCUGUUCUUUGGUACUCUUAACCUACAAGCAUUUUUGUUUGACCUACCUUCUCUCUACCAAAUCACUUAACAUUCCUUUAAAAAAAAAACCUUUUUAUUGUGGUAAGAAUACAUUAAAAAUCUGUCAUUUGAACUAUUUUUAAAUGCACAUUUCAGUGGCAAAAAUUAUAGUCACAAUACUGCACAUCUAUUUCCAAAACGUUUCAAUUAUCUCAAUCAUUCAUCAUUCUUCCAUCUGCUCUCCAGCUUCAUGGGUUGUAUUCUUGAGCUAUGGGGAGCUCCUACUUUAAACACAAUUGAAUUUUAUGUUUCUGCUUUUUUACUAGCUUUGGGGUGUGAUUUUUCAAGAGAAAAGUGUAGAAAUAUUUUUAUUGUCAUUAUAAAACCUAAAAUACAAUCUCCUUAUUUUAAAGAUGGGACACCUCUUGCCCAGAAGAUUAAGCAACUUGCUCUGAGUACCUGUGUGAUUUGCUUAAUUGCCUACCAGAGCCCCUUCCAUUAACUAUCCUACUCAUAUCAGUAUUGGAGUCCUCGUGAGUUCCCAUCUUUAUUUUUUUAGUGUAUAGUUUUCAAUUAUGUAUACCAAAGAGGUGAGAGUGAUGUUUCUGUAGAAAUUAUUAGAGCAGUAACUAUUGGACAGUUCAUGCUUAGGAAGCUAGAGCUUCUUAAUUUCCUGUGGCAACAGCAGCUAGGAAUUUGAAAAAUGGAGUUAAGUCUCUGAAACUUCUUAGAUGUGCAAGCAUGGAAGAACUUGCUGACCAGUGUGGGCAGUUCAACUUAUCAUCUUCUCCUAGAGCUGGCAGACCUUAUUUUAGGGCCUAUUUAACACAAAUUUUACUGAGCAUGUAUCCCAAAUUAGAUGUGAAAAACACCUUAAACAUCUAAUAAUGUAAAAGCAAAAAUGACAAAUAAUAUUUUCUGUACUUGGAUGUGGCUUUUUGUUACAAAUCUUCACUUCCUAUAUUCCAUUCCAUGUAUCACUGGGGCCACCUAUUUUAACAUGAGACAAAUAAUUUUAAUCUCAGGUAUUUUGUUUCAAUGAAGAACUGCAAAAGGCCUUAAAAGAAUAGUGUAACUUAAGUGUCAUGUAAACUUUUAAACCUACAGUUGAUAUCAGUAUCACCAGAGGAUAAGAGAAGGAAAAAGAGGAGGAAUAAUACGGGCAACAACAUCAAAGAAACGGCACAACCAUGUUUUCAGGGCGGUAUCCUUGUCAUCCCUAUUUUAUAGACUGAAGAGUUGAAGUUCAGAAAAGUUAAGUGCAUUGUCUAACUUUAUACAGCUAUAAGUGAUACAGCUAUGAAUUGAACCCGUAUCUAGUGCUCUUGACAACUCAGCUAUGUGAGCAGAUUAAAAAGUUUCCCAAAACAAAGUUUAGUUAUUCGAAUAAAGUAAAUCUAGACUAAGCACAAAAUAUUACAGUACACUGAUCAUGGUGAGGGCAGGGCAAUUUCUUCUCUUCUGAAAGGCAAUUUAGUCUCUUCUUUUAGAGUAGACACAUCUGUUAGUCUUGAUAAACUAUUCAUAAGUAUGGAAAACACUGGACGAGACACACUAAACUAUACCCAUGAAAAUGGAGUUGAAAAAUCUGUUCUUAUCUCAAAACUGUGUUGUAUAGUUACAAAAACCCUUUGAACCACAACAAAAAAUUUUUAACACCCUUAUUUUACACAUUAAUGAUUUGGUCAAGAACCUAGAAAUAAAUAAAAAUGGCCUCUGAGCAAGCAUCAAGAAAAGCCUUAAUAAACUAUGGACUUUCUUCACUAUGAAGCCUGUUGCCUUUCCCUUGGAGUCUAGUGACUAUUAUUUUAAGAACAAUUCGAACAAGCUAGUUUUUUUUCCUGGUAGGCCACAGCACAUCAAAAGCAAUAAAUAAAGGGGGUGUGAUAUUGCUAAAGGAAGGAACAUCAAAACAUCAAGAAACGACCGUAAUGAACUUCUAAAAAAUUACUCGAGAAACACAGUAUCUGAGGGCAGAGGCUGUCAAACCACAGUCUACAAGCCCAAUUCAACCACUGUCUGUUCAAUGAUAAAGUGUUAUUGGAAAUCAUCUAUGCUCAUUCACGAUAUAUUAUCUAUGAUGGCUCUCACAGUGCAAUAGCAGAGUUGAGAAGCGGCAACAGAGACCAUGUGACCUGCAAAACUUAAAAUAUUUACUAUCUGGCCCUUUACAGAAAGAGUGUGUCAAUUCUAUGGUCUAGGUCAUUAGAAGAAUGGAUAAACAGCUUUCCAUACCUCACUGUGCCCUGCGGGCACAUCACAUCUGAGUUACCCAGAAAUUGUUGUCUAAUGUUUGUUGAGUAAACCUCAGUAUAUCCUGUUUAAUAAAGAAAGGCUAUAAUGCAUUUCAGGAGAAGGGAUAAAUUAUUUUUUAACUGACCCAGCACAAUCAUUGCAGGGAGCCAGAAAAUCAUUUAUAUAGAAUACCCAAAUAAAUGAUAUUUCUAAAGGGAAAUCUGGUAUCAAAAAACUAUUCGAAGUUGAAGUUUUAAAAUUAUUCACUGGCUCAAGCAGGUGAACAAGGUGAGUCAUUUCUGAGGCCCUUGCUAAAACAGCUUUUCCCCUUAAGAUAAAAGUCAGUGUUCUAAUUUCCUGCAGGUGAGCCACAGUCUCAGGGCUAUAGAAGCCUCGUGUUCCCUAAACUGAGCACGUUGGAAACACUGAUAUCAGACAAGUGAAUUGACAUUUUUUGAAGAACUACCUCUGUAAUUUAAACUACUCCUUGAUCUUCCCCCAAAGCAUGCUAGAGAACCUAAUUUCCAUAAAACUUUCUAACCCAAUUUGAAUAGUAUAAUGUGGACAGUGGGGAAUAAAUGGGUUUGAUCAAUUAUGAAUUUAUAUGAUAUGUUAGUAAGCUAUUCAGGCUAAGUCUUACAAUUCAGUAUUUUGAACACUAAUGCCAUGCUACAUAAUUUUAAAAUGGUGCAUUUCAGAAAAACCUCACUAGGGCAUAUUUGCAUAUUUGGAAAUCUAAUUAACCCAAGCAUAUCUUAAAGCUUUCAAGAAAGAACAUACAAUAACAUUUUUGCCAGCUGAAUGUUGCUUGAGGCCAAGUAAGGAUUGUAGCAUCUGGAGUAAUUUAACCCUUCAGCUCCCAGUUUUUAUAUACAGGAGCUGUGUCACCUGGGCGUUAGGUGUGGGCAGAGGGAACCUUCCCCUUCCCGGAGCCUGUGGCUCCAGACUCAGUAUGAGCAAAAGGACCCUGGCCACGUCAAGAACCAUAAUGUGCCCGUGGCGACGACUCUCUGUGGUAAGUCCAUAGCUGUCUCUUCUCCCCCACCUUAGAGAACAUACCUAAGAGCUGAGUUUCUUGCGGGGACACGUAAACUAGGUGAACAAAAUUACCAUCACAUUACAUAGAUAGCAAAACAUCAUUCUUUUUUAUACUUUCUGCAGUGGGUGGGUCGGGUAUUUUAAAAGGAAACCCAAUGAGGGACACUGUCUGACUCACCUCCCCAGCUGCUACUUCCUCUACCCUCAGCUAUAAUUCCUUCCAGUGGGGUUUUCAUCUUUCCCUAGCUAGAAUCUAUGCCCACUGCCAAGAAGAAAAGAAGGAAAAGACCAGUUCUUUGGACCUACUGGUUCCCUAGAUAACACAAUUCCUGUGGGCAGCACUCUCUGUGCACCUGGUAGAGGCUGGUCCAGGGCCAGAGUUGCCUCUCCCCAGAUGUUUUCCUUUGCAGUUGUGGUCAUUCACCUUGCCAGGAUGAAAAAAAGCAUGUGCUGUCCUGUUGCUGCAUCUCCCCAGAGACGGCUGCAAGUAUGGGGGUUCAGCCUGCAAAACACGAUUUGCCUCAUACCGCAACCUUGUUUUGCUGAAUUCCCUAAGGAUGCUCCCCUGUUAAAGAAGCCUAGAGGGAAGUGUUGCUCUGGAAGAAAUGUAAGUCUUUUAUCUCAGUGUUUAGUAGAAAACUGGAUUUAUGAGGAAUCCUGAUAUGUCCAAUAGAAUCUAAGUGCAUUAUGUUAGAAAUUUCAGGAAAUAAAGUAAAAAAUAAAAAAGAA